GGCCGGCCAAAAGCAAGCAAUGUUUGCCCGUCCAAGCUAGUUAAACCCACUCGGUGAAGAUCUUCACGAUGAUUUUGAAUUACUUAGGAUUUAAACUCAUCUAAUCACAUCCAAUCCAGGAUCGAGACCAAACCGAACAGACCCUAACUUAGUUUAUAUUCCUCGACAGCUUUUCAGAGCAUGUUCUCCUGGGCGGCUGUCGAUUUAAUUAAUAUUCCAACCGCUACAAAGCAAAGUAAAAAAAAACACACACAUAUAAUCACUGAAGCAGGUUCAAACGCCAGGCAUGGAGGGCCAACUAGUGCGGCCAAUCGGCUACUUUGUCUUUUCCUCAUAGAAAAAAGAAUCUUGAUCCACGAGCAUCAUAUAUUCCUUUCCUGGACACCUAAUCACUGAAGACUCGCCUUUCUCAUACCUAUAAUAUAUAUAUGUAAGAAAAAAAAACGAACCCAAUACCCACUUGGGCAUGGGUACAAGAUCAUCAUGAAGGUGAUGUUAAUUACAUAGUCCAUGGGCACGUGGAUCUGUUCCUCAGUAGCAACAGCACUGGGUUAUUUCUAUAAUGACGCUGAUCCGACAGCUGGAAUCCCAAUCAUAUGAGUCUUAGCUUAAACCCUAAGCAUGCGUUCUUGCUGUAACUUGCCGGCCAUCCCGGCUCUCUCUCUCUAUCUCUACCCCUAAUUCCCUAUUCCAGCACUGCUUACCCAGAAGAAGACCCCAAGCAAGCAGCCAAGCACCCGCAGAAGUAGACCAAUUAUCAACGGGCCUCCAGCUCAGCCAAAUCUGGAUGCUUACAAUCGACGUGAGCCCGUGGUAGCAGUAAAAGCAGUCUGAAUCAAUUAAUCUCUCUGCAGUUCAAUCCAGCUACGCUAUGCAUGGUACGAAUGGUCUGGUUACAGGGGACCUUUUCUGGUAUAAUUAAAGGGUUCAGCUGAAAUUUACCAUGCAUUACUAGCAAUGUUUUAAAUGUCCGGCUAAGGCUCUCUUAGCGGCGAGUAAGUUUUUAGAUCACCUAUAUAUGAA
rnacentral:lncRNA from 1 species